AUUGAACGCUGGCGGCAGGCCUAACACAUGCAAGUCGAACGAGUGGCGGACGGGUGAGUAAUGUCUGGGAAACUGCCUGAUGGAGGGGGAUACCUACUGGAAACGGUAGCUAAUACCGCAUACACUCGGAUGUGCCCAGAUGGGAUUAGCUAGUAGGUGGGGGAAAGGCUCACCUAGGAGACGAUCCCUAGCUGGUCUGAGAGGCUGACCACUCACACUGGACCGUAGACACGGUCCAGACUCCUACGGGAGGCAGCAGGGGGGAAUAUUGCACAAUGGGCGCAAGCCUGAUGCAGCCCUGCCGCGUGUAUGAAGAAGUCCUGCUGGUUUUAAAGUACUUUCAGCGGGGAGGCGUUACCCGCAGAAGAAGCACAGGCUAACUCCGGGCCAGACGCCGCGGUAAUUC
rnacentral:rRNA from 1 species